AGUCCGCGCCAAGCCACAGCAGUGUUCACAUCUUGCCCGGUGGUGCCUCCCGCGAAGAAAAAAAUAUGUGAAGAGAUGGAAAAGGAAAAUAAAUAAACGAGAAAAAAAAGAAUAAUUGUGAUCCGCUGAAAACCCCCCGAAAAAAAGAAAAGAAAAAGAAGAAAAAAACUACUAAAGGAAAAGUGUGAAAACUGUGAAUCUCAAAAAUCAGAGGGAAAGGAGAUCAAAGAAAAGGAAUGUGAAAGGAAGUGUUGGAAAGAAAGGAAGGAAGGAAGGAAGGAAAGGAAGGAAAGAGAGAAAGAGAGAGAGAACGGAGUGAGUGAGCAACAGGAUAGGUGAUAAAAUGUGAAGAGAAAUAAAUAAAAAAAAAUUAAAAAAUGAGAAAACAAUAAUUAAAUGAAAGAAAGAAAGAAAAAGGUGAAAAAAUAUAUAAGAAAGUAAAUAUUAAAAAAAAGACAGAAAUCAAGUUAAAAUUAAAUAAAGCAGAAAUAAAAAAAAAUCACGAUACAAAGAAAACUAGAAAAGGAAAAAGAAGGAAAAGUGAACUAAAGGAAAAUAAAAUAACACUACCUAAAAAAUACAGAAUAAUUAAGUGAAAGAAAAGAAAAAACAAAAGAAAAAAAUCGAAAAAUACCUGAAAUUAAAAAAAAAUAGAAAACGAAAAAGUUAAAAUAAAGUGACAGAAAAAAAUAACAAAAGGUAAAAAAAUAUUAAAAUAAAAACCAGUGACAAAAAAAUAAAACAAUAACAAAAAAUAAAUCAUGAAAAGAAGAAAACAAAGAAACGAAUAGAAAGAAAACUCACCUGAGCCCCAAAAAGUGAAAACAGGAACACCACAAAACAGACUGGUAGAUAACAGACAGGUAGAUAACAGACAGGUAGAAAACACAGGUGAGAAAAACAAGUAGAAAACAGCUCGAUAUUUAAACCCACUCCGUCACUUUGAUCUUUUUUGGAACGUUUGAAAGAACAAGUUAUUUUCCUCCUCUUGAUUCCCUUUUGUGCUCGGAGGAAAAGAGGAAAAGGAGGAGGAGGAAAAGGAAGAGGAACAGAAAGUAGUGAAUCAGUGGAGAGAAGAGAGAGAGAAAAAAAAAAAGGAUGAUGGGAGUUUUGAGCCCCUAGUGAAGAGAGAGAGAGAGAGAGAGAGAGAGAGAGAGAGAGAGAGAGAGAGAGAGAGAGAGAGAGAGAGAGAGAGAGAGAGAGAGAGAGAGAGAGAGAGAGGAUAACAUUAUAGAGGAAAACUAUACAGUGAAUUAAGAACACUCACACUCACUCACACACACACACACACACACACACACACACACACACACACAAGAUAGGGGACCAAACACCCCAGACAUUCCCAGAGCUCCACCUCGAACUCCACCUCUCUCCACCUUCGCCUGAACCACCCUCCUCCUCCUCCUCCACCUCCUCCUCCACCAAGAGAGAAGACUUAGGAAGAGGUAGAUGCGGAGGAGGAAGAGGCGGAGAAGAAAGAGUACUCCGAGCAAGAAGAGGAAGAGGGGUGUUUGGGGGGGGAGGGCCUGGAGGUGGAGGUGGAGGAGAGGAAGGAGGGGGAGGGAGGAGGUGCAAAGCUGUCUCACCUGUAGCGGAGAUGUUUCGGCCCGUGGGACUCCUGCUCCACUCCCAGUCCGUCCCGUGUUUUGGCUCCUACGAAAACAUUUCCCACCUGGAUGUCCCGGAUUCGGCCGCCUCAGCCACCGCCUCCACCAAGAAACGACUGGUGCAGGGGCGCGAUGGGGGGCGAGGAGGUGCAGGCUACAUGAACCUCCCCUCGCCAAAUGUGGCUGCCGAGGACAAUGAGCCCCAGAGUCUCUUCCGGGGCAACGAGGGGGGGGAAGGCUCGGAUUCUGACAACGGGGAGGAGGACGCCGGCCCCCCAGCCUCGGCCCUCACGCGGCGCCGAGCUCUCGUGCCGCCGAAGUUGCUCACAGACACGGCCAACUAUGAUGCCCAGGACCCGCCCUCCACGCCUGUCAACGGGUGUCAGGAGUCGGGCAUCACGCGGAACAAGCGGAGAUCCAGCAUCGUGGUCAUCCCGCCUAUGCAGGUUUGCCCCGGGGACCUGCUCGUCUACUCUAAAGUGCUCACUCAGCGGACCAACUUGAUAGCUGGUGACCUUGACGGCUCCACGCAGUCCCUCGCCGUGACCGAAGCAGACCCGGUGGGCAGCAGGAAGGGCAAGAACACGUGGUCCCUGCUAAGACUAUUCGAUAGAUCCAACCGUACCAAGUCUGAGUCUCUGUGCGGCCUCGAGGAAGUGCUGAGCUGCCUCCAACCGAGCGAGUUCGAGGACGAGCAGCUGUCAAGGUUCAAAGGUAUGUGUUGGACCGACUUCGUGGCGUACAAGGAAGGCAGGAAGGACGGUGACGAGGACUCCCCCAACACACAGGACGGAGGCGGCGGCGGAGGCUCGGAAACAAUGUCCACGCCCAUGGUAGCUCUUAACGACCGGGCGCUUCUAAUCACCCCGGGACGAGCGGAGACCAGACCC